GAUGAACGCUGGCGGCGUGCCUAAUACAUGCAAGUCGAGCGAACAGACGAGGAGCUUGCUCCUCUGACGUUAGCGGCGGACGGGUGAGUCACACGUGGAUAACCUACCUAUAAGACUGGGAUAACUUCGGGAAACCGGAGCUAAUACCGGAUCAUAUAUUGAACCGCAUGGUUCAAUAGUGAAAGACGGUUUUGCUGUCACUUAUAGAUGGAUCCGCGCCGCAUUAGCUAGUUGGUACGGUAACGGCUUACCAAGGCAACGAUGCGUAGCCGACCUGAGAGGGUGAUCGGCCACACUGGAACUGAGACACGGUCCAGACUCCUACGGGAGGCAGCAGUAGGGAAUCUUGCGCAAUGGGCGAAAGCCUGACGGAGCAACGCCGCGUGAGUGAUGAAGGUCUUCGGAUCGUAAAGCUCUGUUAGUAGGGAAGAACAAAUGUGUAAGUAACUAUGCACGUCUUGACGGUACCUAAUCAGAAAGCAACGGCUAACUACGUG
rnacentral:rRNA from 1 species